CGUGCCUCAGACAUGCAAGUCGAACGAUUAAAGCUCUCUUCGGAGAGUGCAUAGAGUGGCGCACGGGUGAGUAACACGUAAGUAAUCUACCCUCGAGUGGGGAAUAACGUCCGGAAACGGGCGCUAAUACCGCAUAAUGUCUACGGACCAAAGUGUGGGACCUUCGGGCCACAUGCUAUCGGAUGCGCCUACGUGGGAUUAGCUAGUUGGUGGGGUAAUGGCUCACCAAGGCGACGAUCCCUAGCUGGUUUGAGAGGAUGGUCAGCCACACUGGAACUGAGACACGGUCCAGACUCCUACGGGAGGCAGCAGUGGGGAAUAUUGGACAAUGGGCGCAAGCCUGAUCCAGCCAUGCCGCGUGUGUGAAGAAGGCCUUCGGGUUGUAAAGCACUUUCAGUAGGGAGGAAGGGUGUUGUGUUAAUAGCACAGCAUUUUGACGUUACCUACAGAAGAAGCACCGGCUAACUCUGUGCCAGCAGCCGCCGUAAGAC
rnacentral:rRNA from 1 species